GCUGACCGAAUACAGCCUGGUAGGCAAACGUCAAAAAGAAACUAACAAGGAUUCCCCUAGUAACGGCGAGUGAAGCGGGAUGAGCUCAAGCUUAAAAUCUCCGUGCAAGUUUUGCACGGCGAAUUGUAGUCUAUAGAGGCGUGGUCAGUGAGGGCGCUCGGGGCAAGUUCCUUGGAAGAGGACAGCAUGGAGGGUGAUACUCCCGUUCAUCCCUGAGUGGCUUUUGCGUACGACCCGUGUUCUUUGAGUCGCGUUGUUUGGGAAUGCAGCGCAAAGUAGGUGGUAAAUUCCAUCUAAAGCUAAAUAUUGGUGCGAGACCGAUAGCGAACAAGUACCGUGAGGGAAAGAUGAAAAGAACUUUGAAAAGAGAGUUAAAGAGUACCUGAAACUGCUGAAAGGGAACCGAAUCGUUUCCAGUGUCUAUAAUCCGUGGCAUAUUUCAUUGGCGAGUGUGUGCGUGCGUGUGCUGUGGCAGUGGCUUUUUUGGCUGCGCUCGGCGUGUGUGCUGUGUGUGCUUGUUGGUGCCCUGUGCUGCGGUGGGACGUCAAGGUCAGUUCGUAUGCUGCGAGAAAUGGCUGCCGAGGAGGUAGGGCUUACGCUCCGCGUUUGUCUGUUAUAUCUUGGUGGACGAGUAGUCGCGGUUGGGACUGAGGUGCCUACAACGUGCUUUUGAGUGUGUAUGGGUCUCCGUGUGCGCCGUGUGCGGAUAGCUUGUUAUGCGUGUGUGGUUGUGUGUGGAUUGAUGCGUACUGUAACUUGUCGCCGUUCGGGACGUUGACGAAAUGGAGCGAUCCGACCCGUCUUGAAACACGG
rnacentral:ncRNA from 1 species